ACUGCUUGGAGAGUAAGCUGAUGACGGACUGUACUUGGCAGACUGAGGAUUAUAGCUUGGAGAUGUAGGGCUGUAACUGGGCGAGGUUGGACUAUAACUAGGCGAGGUUGGGCUGUAACCAGGAGAAGUUGGGCUGUAGGCUGGCGAGGUAGGGCUGUAGGAUGGAGAUGUUGGACUGUAGGAAGGAGAAGUUGGGCUGUAGGAAGGCGAAGUUGGGCUGUAGGAUGGCGAAGUUGGGCUGUAGGAAGGAGACGUGGGACUGUAAGAUGGCGAAGUGGGGCUAUAUGCGGGGGAAGUGGGGCUGUAAGCAGGUGAAGUGGGGCUGUAAGCAGGGGAAGUAGGGCUGUAGCUUGGUGAAGUGGGGCUGUAGCUUGGAGAGGUGGGGCUGUAGCUGGGAGAGGUUGGCGAGUAUGAUGGACUCGUAGGAGAGUAAGCUGGACUGGUGGGACUAUAGCCGGAGAACUAGGACUAUAUGUCGGAGAG
rnacentral:lncRNA from 1 species